ACCUAUUUUUGUUAAGGAAAGCAUCUCCUCUGGUAACGGUGGUAUCUCCAGUUAACAUCUUGAAGGUUGAUGAUUUCCCAGCCCCAUUAACUCCCAGGAGUCCAAAGCACUGAAAAAGUAAGAUUGGGUUGUGAAAGUAAAGAAGCGGAUAAACCUGCAAAUUAUGAAGCACUUAAGCACAGGCGUUACGGGGAAGGAGAGAUGGGAAAAGCAUUUGAUCAGGAUCUAUCAUCUUGGCUAACGGCCAUCAAAAGAAAAGAGCUGAGAAGAACAUAAGAGAGAAAUUCACGUUCAAACAAUGGAACAUAGAUCUUGUCCAAACAGACCUGGGUCUAUGUCAGAAUCGUUUGGAUCAAUGGCAUCGUCUUCAGUGAAUGGGCGAAGACAG